rnacentral:rRNA from 1 species
AAGGGCACCACAAGAACGCGUGGAGCAUGUGGCUUAAUUUGACUCAACGCGGGAAAUCUUACCGGGUCCGGACAUAUUGAGGAUUGACAGGCGCUUAAUGUAAUUAUAAUUUUGAAAAAAAAUUUAUUUUUUUUUUAUUAUAAAUUUACGUUAUCAAAUAUGCUAGUCCUUUCAUGAUUGUGUGAUAGGUGGUGCAUGGCCGUUCUUAGUUCGUGGAGUGAUCUGUCUGCUUAAUUGCGUUUCAUUAAAAGCCUCUAAUGUACAUUACUAUUGUUUCCAACCUUUUAUUCUUUUUAAAAAUUUUGCAAAAUUUAUUUUUUGUAUUUAUUUUAUAAAAGAUAAGGAUUUGGACAAGGUAGUGCGGAGGCUAGAAGGCAACGAACGUGACCGCAACCUCUUGUUGCCUUAUUCUUUAUAUAAAUAAGGUUAAUAUAUAUAUAUUUUGUUUUUUUAUUAAAAUGAUUUUAUGUAUUUUUUUCUCUUUUAUAUUUGUUAUUUUUUUAAUUAUUAUAUGUAUUUUAGUUAAAAAAAAGAAAUUGAUUAAUUUAAUUUAUUAAAUUAUGAUAUUUUUUUUGAUUUAAUUAUUUCCAAUAUGUAUUGAUAAUAUAAAAUAUAAAUUAAGGCUAACUAGAGGGACCGYUAGACGCUAUUGUUAAAACAGAGGAAGGUUGCGGCAAUAACAGGUCUGUGAUGCCCUUAGAUGUUCCGGGCUGCACACGUGCUACAAUGAUUAUUGCAGUGAGCAUCUCAAAAUUGUGAUUUUCUUAUUUUUUAAUUUGAUAUAUAUUUUUUCUAAAAAAAUAUUUUCAGAUUUUAAUUUUUGAAAUUUAUAAUCACAUAGCCUACUUCGAAAGUCAGUAGGUAAUCAAUUCGAAGUAAUGAUUUCCACUUUUUUAACUUUAAUAGUUUUUUUAAAUUAUUUUUGUUAAAAUUGACGCACACAUUAAUGUUUAUGUUUCUGKUUUAUACAUAUUGUUAAUUUAAUCCAUUUAUUGGUGUAAUUUUCGAUUUUGUGGCAGAUACUAACAUGUGCUCUCAUAUUUUAUGUUCAAUUCGUGGUGGGGACAGACCAUUGUUAAUUGUUGGUCUCGGUCUCAACUAGGAAUGCCUUGUACGGGUCUUUGGUUCAACAAACCACCCGGAAUAUGUCCCUGCCCUUUGUACACACCGCUCGUCGCUCUUACCGAUGGACUACUCUGUGAGUUUAAGGGACUGGUUUGAAUGAAAUAAGAUAUUUAUUUAUUUUAUAUAUCAUACAAACUAUGGAAACUUAUGCGAACAGUGUGGUCUAAAGGAAAGAGAAGUCGUAACAAGGCAUCGGUAGGUGAACCU